rnacentral:sRNA from 1 species
GACAAGGCGAUGAAGAAGGAGAGUGU